AGAUAAUAGAUACCCAGGUAGUCCACGCCGUAAACGAUGAGUGCUAGACGUUGGGAAGCUUAGCUUUUCAGUGUCGCAGCUAACGCAUUAAGCACUCCGCCUGGGGAGUACGGUCGCAAGAUUAAAACUCAAAGGAAUUGACGGGGGCCCGGCACAAGCGGUGGAGCAUGUGGUUUAAUUACGAAGCAACGCGCAGAACCUUACCCAACCCUUCGACAUGGGACGGUAUGGACUUCAGAGAUGAGGUUCUUCAGUUCGGCUGGCGUCCACACAGGUGCUGCAUGGCUGUCGUCAGCUCGUGUCGUGAGAUGUUGGGUUAAGUCCCGCAACGAGCGCAACCCUCAUCUUCAGUUGCCAUCAUUUAAGUUGGGCACUCUGAAGAAACCUGCCGGUGACAAGCCGGAGGAAGGCGGGGUA
rnacentral:rRNA from 1 species